AAACGCUUGAAGUCAGUCGUAUCUAAUUGAAAUCAACCUGGCCUUUCGCUGGGCGUACUUUCUUUUGGAUGGGUCAGCAUCAAUUUUGGUCGUCGGAAAAAGGUUGGAGGAAUGUGGCAUCUCCGGAUGUGUUAUAGCCUCCUUUCCACAUACGAUGACUGGGAUUGAGGAACUCAGUGUGACUCUGUUUGGGCUUCGGCUACAUCACGCACUUAGGAUGCUGGCAUAAUGGCUUUAAUCGA
rnacentral:rRNA from 1 species